rnacentral:SRP_RNA from 1 species
GCUGGGCAUGGUGGCGGGUGCCUGUAAUCCCAGCUACUUGGGAAGCUGAGGCAGAGAAUUGCUUGAACCCAGGAGGCGGAGGUUGCAGUGAGCUGAGACCACGCCACUGCACUUCAGCCUGGGCAACAGAGUGAGACUCUGUCUCAA